rnacentral:rRNA from 1 species
AAAUUGACGGGGGCCCGCACAAGCGGUGGAGCAUGUGGUUUAAUUCGAUGCAACGCGAAGAACCUUACCUGGCCUUGACAUACUAGAAACUUUCCAGAGAUGGAUUGGUGCCUUCGGGAAUCUAGAUACAGGUGCUGCACGGCUGUCGUCAGCUCGUGUCGUGAGAUGUUGGGUUAAGUCCCGCAACGAGCGCAACCCUUUUCCUUACUUGCCAGCAUUUCGGAUGGGAACUUUAAGGAUACUGCCAGUGACAAACUGGAGGAAGGCGGGGACGACGUCAAGUCAUCAUGGCCCUUACGGCCAGGGCUACACACGUGCUACAAUGGUCGGUACAAAGGGUUGCUACACAGCGAUGUGAUGCUAAUCUCAAAAAGCCGAUCGUAGUCCGGAUUGGAGUCUGCAACUCGACUCCAUGAAGUCGGAAUCGCUAGUAAUCGCGGAUCAGAAUGCCGCGGUGAAUACGUUCCCGGGCCUU